rnacentral:rRNA from 1 species
GACGAACGCUGGCGGCGUGCCUAAUACAUGCAAGUCGAACGCAGUGGGGACGGGUGAGUAACACGUGGGUAACCUCCCAUCAGAGGGGAUAACACUUGGAAACAGGUGCUAAACCGAUACUGAUGGAUGGACCCGCGGUGCAUUAGCUAGUUGGUGAGGUAACGGCCCACCAAGGCCACGAUUGAUAGCCGACCGGAGAGGGGGAUCGGCCCAACUGGGACUGAGACCACGCCCAGACUCCUACGGGAGGGAGCAGUAGGGAAUCUUCGGCAAUGGACGAAAGGCUGACCGAGCCACGCCGCGUGAGUGAAGAAGGUUUUCGGAUCGGAAAACUCUGGUUGUAGAGAAGCGGUAUCUAACCAGAAAGCCACGGCUAACUACGUGCCAGCAGCCGCGGUAAUUC